GUCUACGGUCAUGCCAUCCUGAACAAGCCCAGUCCUAUCUGAUCUCGGAAGCUAAGCAGGGUCGGGCCUGGUUAGUACUUGGAUGGGAGACCACCGAGGAAGACCAGAUGCUGUAGGCA
rnacentral:rRNA from 1 species